GCGGGCUUGGUGGAAUUGGCAUACACAGCGUUCUUAAACAGCGUCGGUCUCUUCUGGCCUACGAGUUCGAGUCUCGUAGCCCGCACCA
rnacentral:tRNA from 1 species